CGGCGAGUGAACCGGGAAGAGCUCAAAUUUGAAAUCUGGCGUGCUCAGUGCGUCCGAGUUGUAAUCUAUAGAGGCGUUUUCCGUGCCGGACCGUGUCCAAGUCCCUUGGAACAGGGUAUCAAAGAGGGUGACAAUCCCGUACUUGACACGAUGACCGGUGCUCUGUGAUACGUCUUCUACGAGUCGAGUUGUUUGGGAAUGCAGCUCAAAAUGGGUGGUGAGUUCCAUCUAAAGCUAAAUAUUGGCGAGAGACCGAUAGCGAACAAGUACCGUGAGGGAAAGAUGAAAAGCACUUUGGAAAGAGAGUUAAACAGUACGUGAAAUUGUUGAAAGGGAAACGAUUGAAGUCAGUCGUGACUGAGAGGCUCAGCCGGUUCUGCCGGUCUAUUCCCCUCAGUUGGGUCAACAUCAGUUUUGUCCGGUGGAUAAGGGCAGCAGGAAGGUGGCACCCUCGGGUGUGUUAUAGCCUGUUGUCGCAUACAUCGGAUGAGACUGAGGAAUGCAGCUCGCCUUUAUGGCCGGGGUUCGCCCACGUCCGAGCUUAGGAUGUUGACAUAAUGGCUUUAAACGACCC
rnacentral:rRNA from 1 species